rnacentral:rRNA from 1 species
UACGUAGGGGGCAAGCGUUGUCCGGAUUUAUUGGGCGUAAAGAGCGUGUAGGCGGUUUGGUAGGUCCGCUGUGAAAACUCGAGGCUCAACCUCGAGACGCCGGUGGAAACCAUCAGGCUAGAGUCCGGAAGAGGAGAGUGGAAUUCCUGGUGUAGCGGUGAAAUGCGCAGAUAUCAGGAAGAACACCCGUGGCGAAGGCGGUUCUCUGGGACGGUACUGACGCUGGAGACGCGAAAGCGUGGGGAGCGAACAGG